rnacentral:rRNA from 1 species
CAUGCAAGUCGAGCGAAUGGAUUAAGAGCUUGCUCUUAUGAAGUUAGCGGCGGACGGGUGAGUAACACGUGGGUAACCUGCCCAUAAGACUGGGAUAACUCCGGGAAACCGGGGCUAAUACCGGAUAACAUUUUGAACCGCAUGGUUCGAAAUUGAAAGGCGGCUUCGGCUGUCACUUAUGGAUGGACCCGCGUCGCAUUAGCUAGUUGGUGAGGUAACGGCUCACCAAGGCAACGAUGCGUAGCCGACCUGAGAGGGUGAUCGGCCACACUGGGACUGAGACACGGCCCAGACUCCUACGGGAGGCAGCAGUAGGGAAUCUUCCGCAAUGGACGAAAGUCUGACGGAGCAACGCCGCGUGAGUGAUGAAGGCUUUCGGGUCGUAAAACUCUGUUGUUAGGGAAGAACAAGUGCUAGUUGAAUAAGCUGGCACCUUGACGGUACCUAACCAGAAAGCCACGGCUAACUACGUGCCAGCAGCCGCGGUAAUACGUAGGUGGCAAGCGUUAUCCGGAAUUAUUGGGCGUAAAGCGCGCGCAGGUGGUUUCUUAAGUCUGAUGUGAAAGCCCACGGCUCAACCGUGGAGGGUCAUUGGAAACUGGGAGACUUGAGUGCAGAAGAGGAAAGUGG